GGGGGUGUAAAGGUUUCGACGGGGGAAUGAACUCCUGGGUUGCACCGGGUCGGGGCAGGUGGCCGACCUUAAUAAACCUGCAUGGCAUUAAUUGCCGACAAUUAUAACACUCCUGUUGCACUAGCUGCUUAACAGGCGGUCCCGACUGAGAUGUCGGUGGUAGGAAGGGACCGUCAUUCACUACCGAAUUGGAUUGCGUAAGCCCGAUACGCCGUCUGAAAUCCAGGGACCGCUGACCUGCUGUCUUGUCUGCUGUACAGCAUGUCGGCUAAAUUGAUCAACAGACUAACGGUGUAGUAGCUCAUGAUGUAGGUCUUUCGGACGUGGGUUCGACUCCCACCACCUCCACCA
rnacentral:tmRNA from 1 species